rnacentral:lncRNA from 1 species
AAACCACAGAAGCAUGCAACGCAUGCAUUACGUAGGGGUGAUGUACAUAUAGUAUAUAUCUAUGUAUACAUAUGUAUGUACGCAGUGGCGGAUCCAGGAAUCUUACCCCAAGGGGUCGCAGUGUAAAAGUUCAAAUAAAAAUUUAGGAUGGAAAAACAUAUUGAAAAUGAAAUCUUAGUACUUUCAUUCAUAAUUCAUAAUAGAAACAAUAUUACAAACUAUUUCAACAUUUCGUUGUUUCGUGGGAAAUAUGAAUAAAUAGAACUAGUUACAAACUUUAAUUCGAAUAAAUAAAACCGUUACAAAUUUUCCAUUAAAAAUACAUUUCGAAGGACACAAAUCAUAUAAAAGUGAUGGUUUCAUGCCACUCGGUUAUUGUCUAUCCAGUGUCCAUCCAUUUCUAAUCAAUUUAUCUCUACACAUUUCUUCGUCACUAUGUUGGAGUUCAUAUUGAAAACACUUAACACAGUACAAAUGUAAAAUCCUCAAACGCUAUCCCAUGAAAAAAAAAAAAAAAAAAAAAAAAACCAGUUCCUGGACAACAUUUAAAAAUUGAUCCAAAAUAAAGCAGAAAAUUUCACAUUCCAUCACAAAUUAUGUAGGAAAUAAUUUAAAAAACAGUAGUGACUAACCAGAAGCAGUGUCAUAAGUAGCAUCAGAAGCCUUCUUAGAACUAUCCUUCAAAAAAUUCUCAUCAUCCUGCUUCAAAAAAUUCUCAUCAUCCUGCUUCAGCCCAAGUCCUCCGGUGAUUUUCUCUUUAGCCCACUCCAUCCACGACUCCGACCCUUCUUUACCCUCUCUCGCCUUCUCCGCCGCCCUCGCGUCAUCCGUCUGCCUUGACUGGUCCUUAAACUCCACAAACUCAUCAAGAACUUCCUCAUUCGCAGACGGCGUAUGCCCCACGCUGGAGCCGCGGCAUACGGUGGCAAGCAUCACCACCACCGCCACCAUAAUGACAAGGAGUAGUUUGUAAGAUUGCUUUGCACCCAUGAUCGUAUAAACGUUUUCUGAAGAUUUAAAUCUGAAAUGUAUUUUCUGAAAAACUGAAGGUUUUGAGACGUUUUCUGAAAGGAUCAGGAAGCAAUGUGUGAAAGUUUAGGGUUGGGGAGGACUCCUGCCGAGUUUUGAAAAAAAAGAAGCGCGCGAGCGCUGCUUCUUCUUCCUCUUCCUGCCGAGUCUUCUUCUUCCUCUUCCUGACGAUCCCGACGACCCCAGCUCCAAGAGGUCGCAUAUGGGAGCUUCAAGGUUGUUUCCAUGGUUUCCAAGGGGUCGUGCGACCCCGACGACCCCACUGUGGAUCCGCCCUUGUAUGUACGUGUGUGUGUGUAUAUUAUAUAUGUAUAGAGAGAGAUAGCGAGCUAGGGUUAGAGAGUUUGACGUGUGUGGAGAUGUUAGUUGGGUUGUCUUGCCAAUGCUUGGAUUAUCAAGGUGAGUGGUUUAUGUAAUGUGUUUCAAAGUAUUCUUAUUUUCUGAUAAAUGAAAACCACGAACUAUUGUGGGUUUUAUCUAUUUAUAAAUCUCUAUCUAUUUAAGUCAAACAUGUUGGAUUUGUUGAAAUGUUUUGGAGUUAUUUAUAUCGUGAUAUGUGGAUUAUUUGGAAAUGUUCAUGGAGCAUGAGAACUUUGGUGUUGCAUUAAUCCGAGGGAUAAAUGUAAACUGCACACGGCCAUUAGGGGUCACGUGGUGAGUUACAAUUUAUGAAGGAUGUAAUGAAUAUGUAAAUGGAUGAUGUGAUAUGAAAUUACGUGGUUAAAGCUUUGAUAUUAUUAUCCUAUUUUAUAGUGUGAUUAAAAUGGCAAGCUUGACUGGCAUAUUAUAUAUUCUACUUACUGAGCGACGGUGGUUGUUGCUCACCCCUCACCUAUUAUUUUACAGAUGAGUUAUUUGGCAAGACAGGUGUUGGACGAGCUGAGGUUGUCAUUGAGAAGUUUAAGGAUUUUAAUUUAUUACUUUUGUACACCCUGUAAGGUUUUGGAGUUAUUUUAAUAAGAGGGGUUCAUUUUUCAACCCGUGUCAAUUUCUUUUUAUUUAUUUUUACUUUUACUCACGUUUCGGGCGCAGGGUUUUAUUUUUCCACCGAUCCCAGGUUCGGGGCGUGACAAUAUUAUCGCAAAAGACUUUAUUGUUAUGAUUGCAACCAUCUAAAAAGCCAAGAAACAUUAGUAAGGUGAACCCCAAACCCUAAUAAUUAUUUGGUCAAAACCAUUUAAGCAAUCUUUAACUCAAAAUUGCCUCAAACUUAAGCAGUCGUGAAAACAAGGUUCAUUUAAUCAUGCAUGUCUAAGUCUCACUUUUGAGCAAGAGACAUAAACUACCUUAAUUCUUUACUGUAUAGCCAUAACACAAUAGAUUAAGAUAGAACACAAUUCAUAGCAUAUAAAACAGUGCUACUGUUUAUGUCUUUGUCUAGUAUCCAUGCAUAAAACUUUUAACAUUUCAAUUUUUUAUGGUAAGUAGGAGAAAUCAACCAAACAUCGUAUGAAAAACCAACUUCCUACACUAAUGGUAGAAUCUAAUUAUGGAUUAUUUUCACAUGCAUCAGGUUCCACCUUGCAACCUACCAUCUACUUCAAAAAUGGCAUUACUCAGUAAAAUCUAUAAAUCUGUAUCAGAACAGGAAGCAAAUACUACACCUAUCAAAAGGAAUAAAGUUACUAAAAUAAAAAGCACUUACGCUCUCAAAGAAGAAGUUGUUUAACUUAAUUUCACCUCCACAAAAACAACCAAGAUGCACCACCCAGAAAGAUCAACUAAGUCAUUUUCUUUAACCAACAUUAAUUCUAAGUGCCCCUAUUUAUUGGCAUCCCCUCAACAAUAACUUCUACAAAAAAUUAGUAGAAAAAUAAAGAAUCACUUUGCAAUAUGAUACAUACAUCAAUUCAAAUUGAAGCUAAUUAACUAAAUCACAUCCAUAUAAAUCAAAAAGGACAUUACUUACUUCAUGAGCUUGAGAUGCAACCUUCCCAGUUCCAAUGGCCCACACGAGCUUAAAGGCUAGACAACACAAACUCGUCGUGCUCGUUUUCGUCAAGUCCCUCGAAAACUUCAUCGUCUCCGCCAUCAUGAUCGACCAACUCCUGUAAGAUUUUCAUGUAGGCAUCGCGAUUUUUGUUUGGUUUUGUCAUCAGCCCAGAAGGCUUAAAAAUUGAAUCACAAUUCCAUGCAUCCUUUCCGGACCAAAAUUUCCAUAAAAUCCCACUUUGGUGAAGAUGUAAUAAACAUUUGUCCAAUGGUUAAAUAACACAAUUAUGUGUUCCAAUAAGACAUAUUUAGCCUUAGUUGUUUUACGUUGGCACCAUUCUUGAAUAAGAAUUACCAAAAAAAAACCAUUAAUGCAAACAAUUAUAAUCAUAAAUCAUUAUAAUCACAACCAAGGAAAGCAUUGACCAGAAACCAUUAAAACAUGUCCAUUAGUCCACCAAGCUGGUGCAUCCGUGAUAUCAAAGGCAACCCAACAAUCUUUCAUACCAAUAUCAUUACCACCAUCUCCAUCGCUGGUUAAAUGGAAGAGAAAAUUGUAGCAGUUGCAUUCACUGAAGACGAUAACAUUUCAUGUCAACUUAUUACAUUAACACUUGAUUGAAACGCAAUACAAUACAACGCUUUUGAGCAAGAAGUAUUUUAUGCAAAAACAUACAAACAAUGCAAUUUUACCAAAUGGCUAUUUAGUUUAGCAUUAAACAGUUUCUUGGUCUAGGUGUUUGGACAAGAAUUAGAGCCUAUUUAACACUCUGCCAAAUACCAUGUCCUAACUCAUUAGUCGAACCAUUAAAAGUAUUCCCCAUUUUUGAAGACACUUAAAAGAAUUAAUCCAAAUUAUAUCCUCCUGAGAAACAAGAGUAAUAGAAAAGAUAACAGACAAAGAGUACAAGAAAUUGAAGCAUAUUCCCAACCAUCUUAGCAUCUCCAAACAUGGAGCAAUGUGAUGAUAAAUCAAGACAUGAACUGAUAAUGAAAAACACAACUUAUAUGCGGCUCCUCACUUAUUUAUUUAUUUUUAACCAUAAAAAAAUGGCGAUAACAUAAUAUUUUUCAUUAGAAGAUUCACAAUGAACACAACCACAAGGACAUAAUAUUUUCAUGUAUGCAAACCAUGAACCACAAUAUAGAGAAAGAACCUGAUACAUUAUAUAUGUCAAACCAUGAACCACAAUCCAGAGAGGGAGCCUGAUACAUCAUAUAUGUCAGCUCUGGAUCGAAUCACAUGAUGGAGAAAUAGAUCCAUGUUAUGAUCAAUGAGUCACAAUUUUACACCACUGAGACAAUAUUUCAUUGAGAACCCAUUUUGAUGGAAUUCUUCAAACAAUUAUUUAGUGUCACAACCCGUCCCGAGAUUUUCAUAUCGGGAGCGUGAAAUGACGAAAGUACCUUUAGCGGGUACUAAAGUAUGUGUGUGAGACAUAUAUUUUUGGUCUAAAUACAUACAUUCCUAAGUUUUUGUGUGGCUAGGGAUGUGAGUUGGACUUGUUAUUUUUGGAUGGAUCACACCCACACUCACGGGACACUUCUCAUUUUCCUUUCCCCGUGUCUUCCCUCUCUCAUUUCCAU